GCGGCUCGAUAAGGCUGUGGUGAAAGUCCGGGGCUCAACCCCGGAUCGGCCGCGGCGACUGUUGGGCUGGAGCACUGUAGAGGCGGGUGGAAUUCCGGGUGUAGCGGUGGAAUGCGUAGAGAUCCGGAAGAACACCGGUGGCGAAGGCGGCCCGCUGGGCAGUAGCUGACGCUGAGGCGCGACAGUGUGGGGAGCAAACAGGAUUAGAUACCCUGGUAGUCCACGCCGUAAACGAUGGGCACUAGGUGCUUGGGGGAGCGACCCUCCGAGUGCCGGCGCUAACGCAUUAAGUGCCCCGCCUGGGGAGUACG
rnacentral:rRNA from 1 species